GACGAGGCUCCAGCGAAUGGGAAGGUCGCGACGGAGGAGAGAAGCAGCGGCGAGGCUGGCUUCACUCCAAACACAGCCGAGCAGCAAACGGUAAAGACCCAACUGCCGGUGGCAG
rnacentral:SRP_RNA from 1 species